rnacentral:miRNA from 1 species
UACAGUGACCAGGUUAUGACGG